UUUGACCUCAAAUCAGGUAGGACUACCCGCUGAACUUAAGCAUAUCAAUAAGCGGAGGAAAAGAAACUAACAAGGAUUCCCCUAGUAACUGCGAGUGAAGCGGGAAAAGCUCAAAUUUAAAAUCUGGUAGUCUUUGGCUGCCCGAGUUGUAAUCUAGAGAAGCAUUAUCCGCGUUGGACCGUGUACAAGUGUCCUGGAAUGGACCAUCAUAGAGGGUGAGAAUCCCGUCUUUGACACGGACUCCCAAGGCUUUGUGAUGUGCUCUCAAAGAGUCGAGUUGUUUGGGAAUGCAGCUCUAAAUGGGUGGUAAAUUCCAUCUAAAGCUAAAUAUUGGCGAGAGACCGAUAGCGAACAAGUACCGUGAGGGAAAGAUGAAAAGAACUUUGGAAAGAGAGUUAAACAGUACGUGAAAUUGCUGAAAGGGAAACGCUUGAAGUCAGUCGCGUUGGCUGGGGAUCAACCUUGCUUUUUUGCUUGGCUUACUUCCCAGUUGACGGGUCAGCAUCAGUUUUGACCGGUGGAUAAAGG
rnacentral:rRNA from 1 species